rnacentral:lncRNA from 1 species
AAGAAGACAACACAUAUAAUAACAGAGUGUAUAGAUAUAAAUGUCACAAUAUAAUCAGAAUACUUAUUACAUAGCGGAGGUCCUUACAAAAUAAAAGAUAAAUAUAUAUUGAACUAAAGUCCAUCCUUGGCGCCAUAAAGUCAACUGAGAGACGCCACCUAGAUCAAGUCAAACUCCUCGAUACGUGGCUCCUCUUGAAUCACCUGUUCUUUUCCUGUGGGGGUGUGAGACAGCAAGGGUGAGCUCACACAUGUUCAUCGCUCAAUUAAGUUGUGGGGAAUAAUGUGCAUGAACUCACCAAAGGUGGGAGUUCAUGUGAUGUGUAAGGCUGAUCAAUAAUAGGGGUUAAGGCUGAGCAUUGCUUUAAUAAGUUGGUCAAAUUUUAUUAGCAGUUACUAUGUGUAAGUAAAUACCAAGCCAUAAUAAAAAUAAUAGAACAAAAUUAAUAAUAAAUCCCAUGCAAUGCAAAUGAAAAAUUGAAUUUAGGUUCCAUAAUUUAAUCAUGCGAGAGUCCUGAGCUGCUCUUGUCCAUAAGCUCGGCUAAUAUACCAGUUUUACACUCUGCAGAGGUUGUACCCUGGACCCACAAGUCAUGUUACCCAUCUGCUAAGGGGUCAUGAAUCACAUACAACUCUACCAAGGAAGCGAGGCAGGGUAACACUACGAGGCCUUUACAAAGUUCCACUAGCUUCCGAAAACCCGCUACAGUUUAUGGGAAGAGUACUUGCAAGAAUCCCUCGUCUAGUUGCCAUCGCAACAAAAUCAACCCGAGAACCUUCCUACAUGCAACUCCCCUACUGCCAGUGGCGGACCUAGGAUUUGACCAUAGGGUAUGCGAUGCAAAAAAGUUAUAUAUAAUUCGGUAAAACCAUAUAUAGUAUGACGAUAGAUCCAGAUGAUGAACCUUCAAGAGACCGUGAUUAUAUAUGAUAAUCUAAUAUAUAUAUAUAUAUAUAUAUAUAUAUAUAUAUAUAUAUAUAUAUAUAUAUAUAUACACCGUAGAUGAGACAUGAGAAGUGAUCCUCCGAUUUAGAGCGGGGCGGCGGCAGACUGCGACCCAACACUAUGGCCAGGGCUUCGUUCUCUCCGAUCAAGAUUAGAUUAGAAAAAUGAAACGUCCAUGCCACUAGGAAAUUGAAACGGCGGUGGACUGCAGUGUAGGCACUACGAGUCAGAAAAAUGAAACAUCCAAUGCAUUAUGUUGCCGCUCGGGCCGCAUCUUAAUCGCCUAAUGGGCCUCCUGUCAUGACACCAUACUGUCCAGUGCACUAUAUUUCUUUUAUUUUUUUCCUUUUUAGUUUUUACAUAUACGGUAUAUAUACACUCACUGGUUUUACAGGGUAUGCCGGUGCAUACCUGGCAUACCCUGUAGGUCCGCCACUACCUACUACCCUUGCCCCUUUCGUGUAAGGUAGUCUUCCACUAGUUUUCCUAAUUAUUCAGCCAAGGGCGUCCCAUUCCACCCUUGUGGUGGCACGUGUUUCUCAAGUUAAGCUCCAUGUUCCAAUUAAAGAUAAUGAUCUUGACAUGACCAUAAAUAAAAUAACAGAAAAAUUGGAACAUGAAUAUAAUGAAAUAUUAACCCAAAACCAUGUAAAGCAAUAGCAUAGCUACCCAAAUGAUUCAGGGAUAAACAAGGUAAAAAGGAUAAACAUACUAGGGUGACCUAUUGGGUCCCAUCAAAAUUAAACCUAUGCAUGAAUAAGUGAUAUUAAAGAAUAUUAUUGGGGAAUAAAUGUGGUCAAGGGCACAACUUACCUGGGACUUAAGAUUCCAGGUACCAGGAUGAUCCUCAGGUGACUUGACCUCACUUCUACUCGUAGCAGUACAAACAAUCAUGGUAUAGAUAAAAUUAACAUCACACCAAUCAUAAGAUUAAACUGUAUAAUAAUGAUCUACGUGUUGCUAUGAGAUUGCGGGAACGAGAACAACUAAGAUCGGAGUUAUGGUUAAGGAGGUAUGAUUUAUGGAAGAUCUACGUGAUUCAAAUAUUAAACUAUAUUAUAAAUUGGUUAGCAUAGAUCAUAUGAGAGGUUAUUCUAUAAAUAAUUAUCUCAACUUUAAUCUAAGUUAUAAGUUGAUCAUAGAUCAUAUUCUAGUAGAUUAUAAAGAUAAGCAUAUUAACAAGACUAACCAACUUAAGCUAAAUAAAAACUCUAAUUAUAAAGGAAUAAGACAUGGUACAAGAAAUAUUGUUAUUGUAUAGUAAAUAUUCAUAUGAAGCCAACGCGACUUGAACGGACCAAAUCGAAAUUAAAACGAAGAAGUUAUGGAUUUACAAAGUUUUAAGUGUUGGAUAAAAGACUAAUUAGAAUAUUAAUUUUAAUGUGGCUUUCAUGUCAAAAUAGUGGCACUAAUUGAUAAACAAUAAUAUUACAAAAUGAUAGGAAAUGGAAUGAAUUAAUUUGGAGCUAGAAUGGAUUUUCUAUGAAUUAAAUAAGUUUUUGGAAUUAUUUUAACACUAAAAAUCAUUUUCUAAUUGAAUUUCUGAAUUUUCCUAUGAUUCUGAACUGCACGCCAAUUUCCGGAGAGUGCAGGGGCUAAUCCAUAGUUUUUCCAAAGACUCAGUUCUCCACCAGAGUGGACUACGAGUUGAAUCUGAAAAAGAGCAGGGGCUCUCUUGCAAAGUGGUGGCCGAAGGGGUAUUACUAGAUCUCGGCCGAUGGAUUUUGAAUCUGUGGUCAUGAUUAGAUUCUCGUUGUAAUGAGCCGGUACGCGAGUAUAGCCCUCGGAUCACAGAUCUAACGGCCACCAGGUACCCGACCGAAACAUCUCCUACCCUAGAUCCCCACCGUCAGAUUAGGAUUUGAUGGUCGCCAUUCCUCGCAACGAAGGGGUACGUGAUAUUUUAAUCACCACCACUAUUCAGAUCCGACGGCCCCAGUCCAUCUUCAACCCCUCGCCUCCAACCCUCUCUUCUCGCUAGUCAGCCCAGGGCGACCGAGGCCACCAGGGCAUAAAACCCGGCCACGACGCCAUGCGCGCCCGAGCACUAGUCGAACCACGGUCGCGCGUAGAAGGAACACAUACCGUCAUCGCAGCAGAAAAGGCACUCACCAAUGAUGGGGGUAGGGCUGGUCGUCGACAAAGUGCGGGGCAUGGUGCUGCGCAGGCCCCAGCGUAGGUGAAGAUGGCGCCGUCAGCGCGCAUAGAAGGCAGGGACGAGACCGGCGUCCAGGGGCGGCAGCGAGUUGUGAGGAAGAAACUUUGGCGGGGAAAAGAGGCCGCGUCGGGUCUUCACGGUGGUGGCGGCUCUUAUUUUCUGCGUCGUCGCACACGCACAAUCACUCGUGGAGGUGGUCGUGGAGAUGGAAAAGAAAGGAAAGGAGGCCCUCCC